rnacentral:lncRNA from 1 species
UGGACUUUGAAAUUGUAAGUGUUUUACAUAUUACCAAACUAAGUUUUUAAGAUAGUCCCUAAAAUUGAAAGAAUGGUAUCUGAAAUGAAUGAAUCUAAAUUCCUUGGAUUGCAUUCUACAGGCGCCAACCCUGAGACCAAAAUUUGGAAGGUGGCCCUGAGCAGCAGCUGAAGGGAAGUGGGAGCUUGCCUGUUCACUCUGGCUGGUCAUAUGCAGAAAACCGAAACUAGACCCCUUUCUGACACCUUAUAUAAAAAUUAACUCAAGAUGCAUUAAAGAUUUAAACGUGAGACCUAAAACCAGAAAAAUCCUAGAAGAAAACCUAGGCAAUACCAUUGAGGACAUAAGCAUGGGCAAAGACUUUCAUGACUAAAACACCA